AACGAACGCUGGCGGCAGGCCUAACACAUGCAAGUCGAGCGCUACCUUCGGGUGGAGCGGCGGACGGGUUAGUAACGCGUGGGAACGUACCCAGAUCUAAGGAAUAGCCACUGGAAACGGUGAGUAAUACCUUAUACGCCCUUCGGGGGAAAGAUUUAUCGGAUUUGGAUCGGCCCGCGUUAGAUUAGAUAGUUGGUGGGGUAAUGGCCUACCAAGUCUACGAUCUAUAGCUGGUUUUAGAGGAUGAUCAGCAACACUGGGACUGAGACACGGCCCAGACUCCUACGGGAGGCAGCAGUGGGGAAUCUUGGACAAUGGGCGCAAGCCUGAUCCAGCCAUGCCGCGUGAGUGAUGAAGGCCUUAGGGUCGUAAAGCUCUUUCGCCAGAGAUGAUAAUGACAGUAUCUGGUAAAGAAACCCCGGCUAACUCCGUGCCAGCAGCCGCGGUAAUACGGAGGGGGUUAGCGUUGUUCGGAAUUACUGGGCGUAAAGCGUACGUAGGCGGAUUAGUCAGUCAGAGGUGAAAUCCCAGGGCUCAACCCUGGAACUGCCUUUGAUACUGCUAGUCUUGAGUUCGAGAGAGGUGAGUGGAAUUCCAAGUGUAGAGGUGAAAUUCGUAGAUAUUUGGAGGAACACCAGUGGCGAAGGCGGCUCA
rnacentral:rRNA from 1 species